UUUUUUUCGUGUAACACAUUUUCCCCUUCCUUUUGCUCAUGUCCUUUACCUUUUUCUUAUGUAACAGGUUAUCUCGAUACUUUCUUUUGCUCAUGUCCUUUACCUUGUUCUUAUGUAACAGAUUAUCUCGAUACUUUCUUUUGCUCAUGUCCUUUACCGUUUUCUUAUGUAACAGGUUUUCUUGAUACUUUCUUUUGCUCAUGCCCUUUUUCAUUUCCCUGUACAACUCAUCUUUUUGAUACUUCCACUUACAAACAUUUUUUUUCUCUUCCUGAUACAACAUAUCUUCUUGAUACUUAGUUUUGCACAUUACUUUUUUUUUUUCCUUAUACAACAAAUUUUCCUGAUAUUUAACGUUUUUUUGUAAGGACAAUUUGCUUUUAUAAUACUUAGAAAAACAAUAAUAGCUUUUUGAAAAAGAAGUAUUUGCAGUAAUUUCUGUCUGUCUUUUUGAAUUCUUUCUACACAUAUACUUCAUCUCAGGCAAAUUACCCACUUUGCACAAAUUAAAGCAAAUAUUCUUAUCAACAUGUUGCACACAAAUUACUGGUUCAAAAUGAUUAUUCUCACAAUGUUUUAAAUAAAUUCCACCACUUUCCAACACAGUACUCAUGCAACUAUAUUUUACCCAUUUUCCCUCAUUACAUAUAUAUAGAUCCACUCCUAAAGCAUUUGCUGUUCCUUGAAAUUCUAUGUCUGAAGCACAAUAUCCAACAUAUUGCAUCUGUGACUUUGAAAUGUAUUCAGAGAUUGAAGCAAAUUCUUUACCUACUAAGUUCAUGUGUUCUUCACUGUGAUUUUCCAUAUAUUUGACAACAGCAAGCCUUAUUUUCCGAUGAUUUUUUUCACAACCGCUAAUUACUUGUGCUACUGCUCUAAAAAAACUAUUGCCAUCCUUUACAACUUUAUCUGUCUUACAAACAGCACCUAAAGAUCCAUGAACAGUGGGUACUUGCAUAUUUUCUCUUUCAAAAUUCAAAUGAUUUUUUUUACAUAAUGUUUGUGCAACUUCCACAGAUAGAGGUCUAUAUGUGAAUGCCAUUUGAGCUUCAUUUUCCACAACUUCAACAUCUCGAUCUCUAACCAUUCUUACUUCACAAGAUGUGUCAUUGUGCAUUGUUUUUAGCAUACUAUGAUGCUGUUGUUCAGUCUUAAACUGCAUUUGCUUAGUAAUAAGCUGAUGGUUGUUUUCCAAAGUCACAACAUUCUUUACAUUCUUAGAGUUUGCUCUAAUAUCAUACCCUUCAAUCAAAGAUGCACUGACUUUGCAGUAGCCAUAACAACUCUGUUGUUCAGGCUUAUUAACACAAACUACAGUCUCAUAAUGAUUUCCGUGGCAAUUUUCUAAGUAGAUGCUUUGUUUUGACAAAAACUUACCAUUGCACCUGUAUUUUAACCAACGACCAUCAUAAAAUGUAAAAACAUCAAUUCCUAAAUAAUCAGCUGUUGCUUGUAUUUCAACUUCUGUCGCCCAGCUAUUAACAUAUCUCAUUUUAGACUUGUUAAUGUACUCUGAUACUGAAGAAUACUCUCUUCUCAAAAUGUUUCGAUAUUUUUCAGCAUUCUUUUCCAAAUGUUGCACAACAGCGAGUCGUAUUUUUCUGUGAUACUUUUGUGUGCCACUUACAGCUUGAGAGAUGGCUCGGAAGAAACAAUUUCCGUCAGCCAUUAUUUUGUCAUUUUUGCAUGGAACUCCUAACAAACCAACAUGUGUCAAUAUUGGAACACUAACUUUUUCGUAUUCCACAUUUAAUUGAGUACACAAAGUUUGACAAACCUGUUUACAAAUAGGACUAAACAUCAUGCUGUUAUUUUUUACAUCACUAACAAAUUCAACAUCUGAAAUAUCUUCAGAAACAUCAUAUCUUUUUUGCUUCUUUGAAGUACAAUUACUUACUGAAAUUUUACGCUUAUUUCUUGCAUCAUUAUUUGUUGGCUGAUCAUUUGAAGAAUCCUCAUCAAACUCAAUUUCAAAUGUCUUGACAGAGUCUUUGCAGCUCUCUGUUAAUGUUAAACACUCUGUACGCUUCUCAUCUUUAAUUUCUGAUGCAUUGUGCUGUGUAGGUUUCACAGUUGUAAUAGUGGCACGGAUACCAGUUAUUUCAAAAGGUUUUUCAUUCUCACUGAGCCCUUUAGCUAAAAGGCAAAUGUGAUUGUGCAAAUCUUUUACAGAAGAAAAAUAUACAACAACACUUCUUCCAUUUCCAUCAACCAUUCCAAGAGCACUCCGUGCAUGAGAGUCAAUCAGAGCAUACUGUCCAUUGUGAGAUAUGAUUGCACAUGUACUACUACACAAUGUUAAAAGACAUAAGUCAUACUGUGCAAACAUUUUUUCCAGUCCAGCUGAAAGACUGCUGUAGAAACCACUCUCAAUUAAUUCACCAUCAACCACAUCUAUAUCACCACUGACAAACUCACCAUAUUCAAACAAAAAACUUUCUCCAUCAAUAAUUGAUUCUUUUGGCAAAUCAGGAAUGGCCAACAAUUUGGAUUUGUGUCUAAUCUGAUUAGUGUCUCGCAAAGCUGUGUACAACUUGUCGCCUAAAACAACAACUCUGUCAAGGUCUUUGGUCUGCCACGAGAAUGCACUAUCAACUGUAUGCUUUGCUAAGCUUACUAAACCUAUUGCCAUACAUUGAACUCCUCUGUAUUUAAACUGGUCAUUCCCCUGAUGAAAGGAUCCUCUUACACUGUUUUCAAGUCUGACAGAAGUACUAUCCUCAAACUCAGCUGCAACUUCAGUGCCUAUAUUGCCAAACUCAUGAACACCUUUGAUGUCAACAUCGCUGUCUGGAAACUCUCUACCACAAGCAUGAUUUUGAUGAUACGUCUUCACAGAAAUGCUACUAACAGCAUACCAUUGUGCAUCUAAAGACUUCCUUAGAUUAUUGAUAUGAACCAUCAGAUCAUUAAGACAUGUGUUGAAAACAACCACAGGCGUGCCAAUAUCAGAGGCCAACCCAAACAUAUCACGUGUUCUGAAAUCAACCACUGCAAAAUAAUUGUUGUGAUGAAUGAUGACAAUAACUGCACUGUGAAGGUUUAGCAGACACAUUCCAUCCCUCAACAAAUAUUCUUGGAGCUUUUCAUACAUUACGGCUUCCUCUUGCAGCAAUUCAAAAUCUUUGUAUACUGGUGGACCAAUUUUUACAUUCCACUUCCUGCCAAACACAUUGUGAUGUUCUAUUAACUUACACAACUCUUUCUGUUCACUUUCUCUUUUCUGACGUGACAUGACUACAUAUUCUGUUAGUUUGCUCCCUUCUACAUAUAUGUCAUCAAUAUCUGUCUGUGCCCAUGUACAAACAGGAGAAAUCACAUGUUUAAUUCCAGCCACAACAGAACAUCCAAUCAAUGCAUCACAGCUCAAUUGUGCAGCCCGAACAUCUGUCCCAGCAACAACAGACAGCGGCAAUUUUUCUGAACAUAUGCAUGCAUUAGCA
ensembl:lncRNA